CCUACGGGAGGCAGCAGUGAGGAAUAUUGGUCAAUGGACGCAAGUCUGAACCAGCCAUGCCGCGUGAAGGAAGACGGCUCUAUGAGUUGUAAACUGCUUUUGUCCGGGGGCAAACUCAGCUACGCGUAUCCGUCUGCACGUAUCGUACGAAUAAGGAUCGGCUAACUCCGUGCCAGCAGCCGCGGUUAUACGGAGGAUUCAAGCGUUAUCCGGAUUUCUUGGGUUUAAAGGGGGCGUAGGCGGUCGGAUAAGUUAGAGGUGAAAGACCCAGGCUCCACUUCGGAAUUGCCUCUGAGACUGUUGGGCUAGAGAGGAGUAGAGGUAGGCGGAAUGUGUGGUGUAGCGGUGAAAUGCUUAGAGAUCAUACAGAACACCGAUUGCGAAGGCAGCAUACCAAGGUACAUCUGACGCUGAGGCACGAAAGCGUGGGGAGCAAACAGGAUUAGAUACCCGUGUAGUC
rnacentral:rRNA from 1 species